AGAGUCUUUCUUCCUUGUCUCAGUCUUCAUACUUAGUAUCACACCAGCUUCUUUCUUCUUCUUUAUAAAGGUAAUGGUAAUCCAUAACCUAUCAGGCAACUGCCCCACCUAUUAGUUAACAAGUUCUAUGAUUAAUCAUAUACAUCUUCCUACUGUAAGUCAUCUGAGCCAGCUCCAGAACCCACUCACCUCGGCCCGU